GAUGAAGAACGCAGCGAAAUGCGAUAAGUAGUGUGAAUUGCAGAAUUCAGUGAAUCAUCGAAUCUUUGAACGCGCAUUGCGCCCCUCGGUAUUCCGUGGGGCAUGCCUGUUCGAGCGUCAUUUACCCCUCAAGCACUGCUUGGUGUUGGGCGUCUGUCCCGCUUCGCGCGCGGACUCGCCCCAAAGGUAUUGGCAGCGGUCGUGCCAGCUUCUCGCGCAGCACAUUGCGCUUCUCGAGGCGGUCGAUCGGCGUCCACGAAGCUCACCUCCACCGUUUGACCUCGGAUCAGGUAGGGAUACCCGCUGAACUUAAGCAUAUCAAUAAGCGGAGGA
rnacentral:misc_RNA from 1 species